ACUAUAUCUAUCAUCGUAACAUGAACCAUAUCCAUCAUCAUGAGCCAUGGGUCAUGGCCACAAAUCACUUGGCUGGAACGAGGCUUGGGAACUUCACAUUCCCAAAUGCACCUGCAAAUCAUUCUGCUGCCGCUAGGAAUCAAAUGGCCGGCAUAAAUCAGAGAAACUUCAUGUUUCAGGAUGCAACUGCCAAUGAUGUUGACCAUGGCAGCCAUGCCAAUGUAUUUCAUAGUCUGCCUGCUCAUGGUUUCUACCAUGGUCAUGGCCAGCAUUCUUAUUGGUUCCACCAUGGUCAUGGACCUCGUGCUUAUGGUUUCGGUCAUGCUUAUGGGUUCUGGCGACAUGCAAACUGUGGACGACAGGAGGCAUGAAUGCAACCCAGUGUGACAUCCAGGUGGGGCCUCUUGUUAUGUGGAUGAUGACCUCUACUACUUACCCCUGGUUUCUGACACCUAAAAAGUUGCCAAGUUUGAACUCAAGAGGUAGAGAUUCAAACAAUUGGAGCCAUUUACUGCAUUCUGCCAUAAUAACUGCAGAAACCUUAUGUUGCAGUACUUCUGCACUUCCCUCUGCCAUAAAUAAGUAAAGAAAAUAUAUGUCAGCAGCAUUAAUAUCACCACAUGAUCAUUGAUCCUCUCCUGUACUAGUGGUCCACCAGAUCCAUGCAAGAUGUGCCAUAGAUUUACUGCACCAUAGAGAGAAAAUUGAACUCAUGAACACCAGUAGCUAGAUGUUCAUUAAAAUAGUGCUGAACUGUGUUCGGUGACUGCCCAUCAAGACCUACAAGCCAAUCCCCAGCAAGAGGCAUCGAUGUACCUCUCUGGAGACCCACAUCCCGGAUAUGCGCAGAGAGGGUCUGCUGCUCGAAGAAAAGACCCAUCUCCGGUCCUUUCUGCGUACUCUGUUGAUAAAAAAGUAUUGAGAGUCAAUUUCCGCUUUGACGGCUGUACAGUAUUCCUUGGAUCCACAAAGGUUUCACACAUUGGAGUCUUCGUAACGUGGAAAGACAGCAGAAAUUUCCUAGUGAACGAAAGCUACUUGUUUUCUCCUGCUUACAUCGAGCAUUGUAGCAGGAACUCUAAUGUAAUUGGCUUGCCUAAGAACCUUUUCACUUCUUUUAUCAGCUUAUUAAUACCUCGUCACCUCUAAUGAAUUCUGGGCUACAGAUUGGACAUUAGAAAAUUAUAUCUGAGCUGAUUCUGAGAUAUUUAAAUUCAUUUCUGGAGUUGA